rnacentral:misc_RNA from 1 species
GCAAACUUGGUCAUUUAGAGGAAGUACAAGUCGUAACAAGGUUUCCGUAGGUGAACCUGCGGAAGGAUCAUUAACAAAUCGUGUAUGUGUGUGUGUAUGAUUGAUUGUAUGAGUUUGUGCAUGUAUGAUAUAUAUGCACAAACAUACAUAUAUACAUACAUAUAUGUGCGCCAGCAUCAUGCUGGAAUGCAAAUAUUCAUGAUAUAGUGUGAUAAUGAGUGUGAAGAAUUCGAAAUCCAAAAUAUACUUUUAACAAUGGAUCUCUUGGCUCUUGCAUCGAUGAAGAACGCAGC